UACGUAGGGUGCAAGCGUUGUCCGGAAUUAUUGGGCGUAAAGAGCUUGUAGGCGGUUUGUCGCGUCUGCUGUGAAAACCCGAGGCUCAACCUCGGGCCUGCAGUGGGUACGGGCAGACUAGAGUGCAGUAGGGGAGACUGGAAUUCCUGGUGUAGCGGUGGAAUGCGCAGAUAUCAGGAGGAACACCGGUGGCGAAGGCGAGUCCCUGGACAGGUCCUGACGCUGAGGCAACGAAAGCCUAGGGGAGCAAACAGG
rnacentral:rRNA from 1 species